rnacentral:rRNA from 1 species
UACAGAGGGGGCAAGCGUUGUUCGGAAUUACUGGGCGUAAAGGGCGCGUAGGCGGCCGACUAAGUCAGACGUGAAAUCCCAUGGCUCAACCAUGGAACUGCGUCUGAUACUGGACGGCUUGAGUUCGGGAGAGGGAAGUGGAAUUCCAGGUGUAGCGGUGAAAUGCGUAGAUAUCUGGAGGAACACCGGUGGCGAAGGCGGCUUCCUGGACCGACACUGACGCUGAGGCGCGAAAGCCAGGGGAGCAAACGGGAUUAGAUACCCCGGUAGUCCUGGCCCUAAACGAUGAAUGCUUGGUGUGGCGGGUAUCGAUCCCUGCCGUGCCGAAGCUAACGCAUUAAGCAUUCCGCCUGGGGAGUACGGUCGCAAGGCUGAA